ensembl:miRNA mir103-1 microRNA mir-103-1
UCUCCACCCUGCUCUGCGCUUUUAGCCUCUUUACAGUGCUGCCUUGUCUUCUCGCGUUCAAGCAGCAUUGUACAGGGCUAUGACGGCGCAGAGAGC